rnacentral:rRNA from 1 species
CAGUAGCCACGGUAAUACGUAGGGCGCAAGCGUUAUCCGGAAUUAUUGGGCGUAAAGAGCUCGUAGGCGGUUUGUCGCGUCUGCCGUGAAAGUCCGGGGCUCAACCCCGGAUCUGCGGUGGGUACGGGCAGACUAGAGUGAUGUAGGGGAGACUGGAAUUCCUGGUGUAGCGGUGAAAUGCGCAGAUAUCAGGAGGAACACCGAUGGCGAAGGCAGGUAUCUGGGCAUUAACUGACGCUGAGGAGCGAAAGCAUGGGGAGCGAACAGGAUUAGAUACCCGUGUAGUCCCUGUCUCUUAUAC